rnacentral:rRNA from 1 species
UUUUAAAUUUAGAGUUUGAUCCUGGCUCAGGACGAACGCUGGCGGCGUGCUUAACACAUGCAAGUCGAGCGAUGAAGCCUCCUUCGGGAAGUGGA